rnacentral:rRNA from 1 species
AAAGAAUUGACGGGGGCCCGCACAAGCGGUGGAGCAUGUGGUUUAAUUCGAUGCAACGCGAAGACCCUUNCCUACUCUUGACAUCCUGCGAACCCGACUGAGAGGUUGGGGUGCCGAAAGGAACGCAGAGACAGGUGCUGCAUGGCUGUCGUCAGCUCGUGUUGUGAGAUGUUGGGUUAAGUCCCGUAACGAGCGCAACCCUUGUCCUUAGUUGCCAUCAUUUAGUUGGGGACUCUAAGGAGACUGCCGGUGAGGAACCGGAGGAAGGCGGGGACGACGUCAAGUCAUCAUGGCCUUUAUGAGUAGGGCUACACACGUGCUACAAUGGGGCGUACAGAGGGUCGCCAACCUGUAAAGGGGAGCCAAUCUCAAAAAGCGUCUCGUAGUCCGGAUUGGAGUCUGCAACUCGACUCCA